GAUUUCAACUGAAAAAAUCAUCAACAACAAAGUUUAAUAACUCAUAAAGAUCUAAAACUUUUCUUUUCGUCAUUUCUUUCUCUGAUAAAGUGAUAGUAAUAUUGAUCACAAAAUCGACAUAUCACUUAUCUGGUUUUAUAAACUAUUACACAGAUGUGUAAAUUUUAUGAACAAUGUUACUAACACUUUGUCGGAUGAAAAAAUGACAAAAAAUAAAAGUUUUAGAUCUUAAUGAGUUAUACAACUUUGUUGUUGAUGACUUUUUUACUUGAAAUC
rnacentral:pre_miRNA from 1 species